GGGGAAUUUUCCGCAAUGGGCGAAAGCCUGACGGAGCAAUACCGCGUGAGGGAGGAAGGCUUUUGGGUCGUAAACCUCUUUUAUUGGGGAAGAAGAACUGACGGUACCCAAUGAAUCAGCAUCGGCUAACUCCGUGCCAGCAGCCGCGGUAAUACGGAGGAUGCAAGCGUUAUCCGGAAUUAUUGGGCGUAAAGCGUCCGCAGGUGGUUUUACAAGUCUGCUGUCAAAGCGCGGAGCUUAACUUCGUAUCGGCAGUGGAAACUGUGGAACUAGAGUUUGGUAGGGGUCACGGGAAUUCCCAGUGUAGCGGUGAAAUGCGUAGAUAUUGGGAAGAACACCAGCGGCGAAAGCGCGUGACUGGGCCUGAACUGACACUCAUGGACGAAAGCUAGGGGAGCGAAAGGGAUUAGAUACCCCUGUAGUCCUAGCUGUAAACGAUGACAACUAGGUGUUGCCCGUAUCGACCCGGGCAGUGCCGUAGCUAACGCGUUAAGUUGUCCGCCUGGGGAGUACGCACGCAAGUGUGAAACUCAAAGGAAUUGACGGGGGCCCGCACAAGCGGUGGAGUAUGUGGUUUAAUUCGAUGCAACGCGAAGAACCUUACCAGGGCUUGACAUGUCGCGAACCUCGGUGAAAGCUGAGGGUGCCUUUGGGAGCGCGAACACAGGUGGUGCAUGGCUGUCGUCAGCUCGUGUCGUGAGAUGUUGGGUUAAGUCCCGCAACGAGCGCAACCCUCGUUUCUAGUUGCCAGCAUUUAGUUGGGCACUCUGGAGAGACUGCCGGUGACAAACCGGAGGAAGGUGGGGAUGACGUCAAGUCAGCAUGCCCCUUACGUCCUGGGCUACACACGUACUACAAUGCUUCGGACAGAGGGUUGCCAACCCGCGAGGGUGAGCUAAUCUCGUAAACCGAGGCUCAGUUCAGAUUGCAGGCUGCAACUCGCCUGCAUGAAGGCGGAAUCGCUAGUAAUCGCAGGUCAGCAUACUGCGGUGAAUACGUUCCCGGGCCUUGUACACACCGCCCGUCACACCAUGGGAGUUGGCCACGCCCGAAGUCGUUACUCCAACCGUUCGCGGAGGGGGACGCCGAAGGCAGGGCUGAUGACUGGGGUGAAGUCGUAACAAGGUAGCCGUACCGGAAGGUGUGGCUGGAUCACCUCCUUUAUAGGGAGACCUACCCACUUGGAGUCGAAAACGACGAGUGAAUAGACCUAAGUUGGUCAACCCAAGGUCGGUCGAGGAUAAGUCAAGGCUUCUAAACUAUCUAGGUUUGGUUCAUGGGCUAUUAGCUCAGGUGGUUAGAGCGCACCCCUGAUAAGGGUGAGGUCCCUGGUUCGAGUCCAGGAUGGCCCACCUUGGGGGUUUAGCUCAGUUGGUAGAGCGCCUGCUUUGCAAGCAGGAUGUCAGCGGUUCGAGUCCGCUAACCUCCACUGAGAAACGAUUCAGCAACUUGUCUAACUAGAGCGCUAGGAUAGAGAGCCUGCUGGAUACGUUCCAGCGAAGAACCUUGAAAACUGCAUAGUAACUUGUCAGGUAGAACGGCUGAUAGCGAAUCGCUAUCAGUAGACAGACACCAAUGAAUGACUUAAGCGAAGUCAAAUUUAGUGGUCAAGCUAGAAAGGGCUCAUGGUGGAUACCUAGGCACACAGAG
rnacentral:misc_RNA from 1 species